rnacentral:lncRNA from 1 species
GUUUCUUUCUGUAAAUAAGUUGGGGUGUGUUUCCCUGGUGGUCUUCCUCCCCCACUUCCCCGUAGGCUCUAUCUUGACUCCCUUCCGCUGCUUUCAGCUGGGAAGGACAAAUUCUUGCUUCACCAAACAAAGCAAGUAUAAGGCUAAUAUCAUCCCUGAUGCCAAAUGGACAAAUCUGACAAAAUAGGAACUAAAUCAUAGACAAAUUCUUAGGUUUAAGAUAAUCUCUUCUUUUGACAUAUUCAGAAUAACCCCAAAAUAAGGCUCAUUUUUGUCCAGGUUCAGAAGGCCACAGACCAACUGUGAUCCCUGAAACAGAGUAGUCCAAGUGUGCUGAGAGUCUGAUGUGACCUGGCUACCUUAUAAGAUAUAGCUAGCCGGUCCCUCCACAAGACAGCAAACAAGGCAUAAUAUGGUAUUUUAUUUCUCUGGGGCCAUGGACUCCAUUUUCAAACUCUUAAAAGAUUAAGCAAUAUUGGAAUGUUUAAAGAAAUGAAUAAAAAUCCCUAGCAAAAUUUCUUUGUCUUUAACAAAAAUUCAAAUGGUAUUCAGAAAAAAUGAAAAGUAAACAUAAUAUCCAAUAUUGGAUGACACAGGUAAACAGCAUACAUUGCGGAAGAAGAAUUUGUGUGUGUAAAAAACAUUAUAAUGAUCAUGCCUGUUUCCCCAGGAAUUAUGAGACUCUAACUCAGGGAUCUGCAAAUUAUGGUCCUUGGACCAAAUCCAACCUGUGGACUAUUUUUGUAUGGCCAGCCAGGAAGGACACUUAUAGCAGGGAGGUGACACCAGGGUCAUACCGUCUAGCCCAGGAUACUAUUUUCUCCCCUCUUGAGGAAGCUUCUCCAUUUCCUGGAAGCCUGCAGCACCCCUUCUUCCACAUUCUGCAGAGCA